rnacentral:lncRNA from 1 species
CGCCCUCUCGUUAAGGGGCCUUAUUGGACUACCGAGUGUGGCCUCUAACUGCGGGAGGGGCCUUCUCUAUAUUUUUUUCUCUUCUUUAAAAUUCGCCAGGCUGUGUUUUCAAAUGCUAUAGUUUCAAUAACAGUGUUCCUGGUAUAAACCACAGGGAACACAUUUCCUCAUUUUUCCUUUCCGCCGAAAAACCUUUCCCGGGAGUUGGGUCGCUUCACGAAUUCGCGCAUGCGCGUGAAGGGGCAAAAGAUGGCGGUGAUAAUCGCCGCACUUUUUUUUUAAAUUAGUGGAUCCCAGAAAUCAUUGCGCGCAUUUGUAACGAAUUUCCGUUCGAGUUUGUAUUUUAGGCGCCAUUUUCGAGUGAAGGACCUGGAGCCGAAGCACCGGUAGGAGCAGGGGGGAGUGGGCCUUUAUAGCCGUUUCCAGCCCUGGUUGAGUGGACUGUCCCGCAGGUAACGUACUUCUUUUCCUGAUACGGUUGUCACACUCCUACUUUCUGCCCUGUCCAACCAGCGCCUGGAAGUUAGAGGCCUUGAACUAGAGCAGCGAAGUACGGGGUGAGGAGGCUGCUACUGGGAGAUUCUCUCACUGUCACCCCUCCCCCCCCACCGGCCGCUCCCUGUGGCUGGGGCUCUCGCGCGCUUCUCCCUGGCGCCACUUCUCUGAGCUGCGUACAGCGUCUUUUAGGGUGGCUCCAAGUCUCUCGAAUCUCUUCUCAGAAAUCCUGGUCUCACAGACCGGCGUCUCCUCUGA